CCAAGUUCCUCCAUGAGUGGACUUCCAUGUAAGCUUACUUUUAAGCUUAGUUUUCUUCACUUAAUUCAAAUAACUCCAUUAAAAACCUCCCUAGAGCUUAUUGUUACAACUUGAGAAGAGGAUUACAAGAAGAAAGGAGAGUUAAAGAUAGGGUUUUGAAGUUUUAAGAAAGCUGAAAAAGACUGGAAACUCGAAGAGACUGAGUCA
rnacentral:misc_RNA from 1 species